CAACGCGUUGGGAGCUCUCCCAUAUGGUCGACCUGCAGGCGGCCGCGAAUUCACUAGUGAUUAGAGUUUGAUCAUGGCUCAGAUUGAACGCUGGCGGCAGGCUUAACACAUGCAAGUCGAGCGGAGUGAUGGUGCUUGCACUAUCACUUAGCGGCGGACGGGUGAGUAAUGCUUAGGAAUCUGCCUAUUAGUGGGGGACAACAUUUCGAAAGGAAUGCUAAUACCGCAUACGUCCUACGGGAGAAAGCAGGGGAUCUUCGGACCUUGCGCUAAUAGAUGAGCCUAAGUCGGAUUAGCUAGUUGGUGGGGUAAAGGCCUACCAAGGCGACGAUCUGUAGCGGGUCUGAGAGGAUGAUCCGCCACACUGGGACUGAGACACGGCCCAGACUCCUACGGGAGGCAGCAGUGGGGAAUAUUGGACAAUGGGCGCAAGCCUGAUCCAGCCAUGCCGCGUGUGUGAAGAAGGCCUUAUGGUUGUAAAGCACUUUAAGCGAGGAGGAGGCUACUGAAGUUAAUACCUUCAGAUAGUGGACGUUACUCGCAGAAUAAGCACCGGCUAACUCUGUGCCAGCAGCCGCGGUAAUACAGAGGGUGCAAGCGUUAAUCGGAUUUACUGGGCGUAAAGCGCGCGUAGGCGGCUAAUUAAGUCAAAUGUGAAAUCCCCGAGCUUAACUUGGGAAUUGCAUUCGAUACUGGUUAGCUAGAGUGUGGGAGAGGAUGGUAGAAUUCCAGGUGUAGCGGUGAAAUGCGUAGAGAUCUGGAGGAAUACCGAUGGCGAAGGCAGCCAUCUGGCCUAACACUGACGCUGAGGUGCGAAAGCAUGGGGAGCAAACAGGAUUAGAUACCCUGGUAGUCCAUGCCGUAAACGAUGUCUACUAGCCGUUGGGGCCUUUGAGCUUUAGUGGCGCAGCUAACGCGAUAAGUAGACCGCCUGGG
rnacentral:rRNA from 1 species